rnacentral:rRNA from 1 species
CAGUAGCCGCGGUAAUACGUAGGUGGCAAGCGUUGUCCGGAAUUAUUGGGCGUAAAGCGCGUCUAGGUGGUUAUGUAAGUCUGAUGUGAAAAUGCAGGGCUCAACUCUGUAUUGCGUUGGAAACUGUGUAACUAGAGUACUGGAGAGGUAAGCGGAACUACAAGUGUAGAGGUGAAAUUCGUAGAUAUUUGUAGGAAUGCCGAUGGGGAAGCCAGCUUACUGGACAGAUACUGACGCUGAAGCGCGAAAGCGUGGGUAGCAAACAGGAUUAGAUACCCGCGUAGUCCCUGUCUCUUAUACA